GAUGAAGAACGCAGCGAAAUGCGAUAAGUAAUGUGAAUUGCAGAAUUCAGUGAAUCAUCGAAUCUUUGAACGCACAUUGCGCCCGCCAGUAUUCUGGCGGGCAUGCCUGUCUGAGCGUCAUUUCAACCCUCAUGCCCCUAGGGCGUGGUGUUGGGGUUCGGCCAAAGCCCGCGAGGGACGGCCGGCCCCUAAAUCUAGUGGCGGACCCGUCGUGGCCUCCUCUGCGAAGUAGUGAUAUUCCGCAUCGGAGAGCGAUGAGCCCCUGCCGUUAAACCCCCAACUUUCCAAGGUUGACCUCAGAUCAGGUAGGAAUACCCGCUGAACUUAAGCAUAUCAAUAAGCGGAGGA
rnacentral:misc_RNA from 1 species